GAUGAACGCUGGCGGCGUGCCUAAUACAUGCAAGUCGAGCGAACAGAUGAGGAGCUUGCUCCUCUGACGUUAGCGGCGGACGGGUGAGUAACACGUGGAUAACCUACCUAUAAGACUGGGAUAACUUCGGGAAACCGGAGCUAAUACCGGAUAAUAUAUUGAACCGCAUGGUUCAAUAGUGAAAGACGGUUUUGCUGUCACUUAUAGAUGGAUCCGCGCCGCAUUAGCUAGUUGGUAAGGUAACGGCUUACCAAGGCAACGAUGCGUAGCCGACCUGAGAGGGUGAUCGGCCAAACUGGAACUGAGACACGGUCCAGACUCCUACGGGAGGCAGCAGUAGGGAAUCUUCCGCAAUGGGCGAAAGCCUGACGGAGCAACGCCGCGUGAGUGAUGAAGGUCUUCGGAUCGUAAAACUCUGUUAUUAGGGAAGAACAAAUGUGCAAGUAACUAUGCACGUCUUGACGGUACCUAAUCAGAAAGCCACGGCUAACUACGUG
rnacentral:rRNA from 1 species